rnacentral:rRNA from 1 species
UACGAAGGGGGCUAGCGUUGCUCGGAAUUACUGGGCGUAAAGGGCGCGUAGGCGGAUAGUUUAGUCAGAGGUGAAAGCCCAGGGCUCAACCUUGGAAUUGCCUUUGAUACUGGCUAUCUUGAGUAUGGGAGAGGUGUGUGGAACUCCGAGUGUAGAGGUGAAAUUCGUAGAUAUUCGCAAGAACACCAGUGGCGAAGGCGGCUCACUGGCCCGGUACUGACGCUGAGGUGCGAAAGCGUGGGGAGCAAACAGG